rnacentral:rRNA from 1 species
UAAAGCCCUUUCAGUGGGAAGAUAAUGACGGUACCCACAGAAGAAGCUCCGGCUAACUCCGUGCCAGCAGCCGCGGUAAUACGGAGGGGGCGAGCGUUGUUCGGAAUUACUGGGCGUAAAGGGCGCGUAGGCGGUUUCACAAGUCCAGGAGUGAAAAUUUCGGGCCUAACCCGGGCGCUGCUUUUGAAACUGUGGGACUAGAGACAGGCAGAGGGUGGUGGAAUUCCCCGUGUAGAGGUGAAAUUCGUAGAUAUGGGGAGGAAGACC